GACGAACCGUGCGAACGUUGUUCGGAUUCACUGGGCUUAAAGGGCGCGUAGGCGGCCGCUCAAGUCGGGGGUGAAAUCUUUCAGCUUAACUGGAAAAUAGCCUCCGAUACUGGGCGGCUCGAGGGAGAUAGGGGUGCGCGGAACUUCCGGUGGAGCGGCGAAAUGCGUAGAUAUCGGAAGGAACGCCGGUGGCGAAGGCGGCAUCCUGGACCGGUAUUGACGCUGAUGCGCGAAAGCCAGGGGAGCAAACGGG
rnacentral:rRNA from 1 species